rnacentral:rRNA from 1 species
AGUGAACGCUGGCGGUAGGCCUAACACAUGCAAGUCGAACGGCAGCACAGUAAGAGCUUGCUCUUACGGGUGGCGAGUGGCGGACGGGUGAGGAAUACAUCGGAAUCUACUUUUUCGUGGGGGAUAACGUAGGGAAACUUACGCUAAUACCGCAUACGACCUACGGGUGAAAGCAGGGGAUCUUCGGACCUUUCGCGAUUGAAUGAGCCGAUGUCGGAUUAGCUAGUUGGCGUGGUAAAGGCCCACCAAGGCGACGAUCCGUAGCUGGUCUGAGAGGAUGAUCAGCCACACUGGAACUGAGACACGGUCCAGACUCCUACGGGAGGCAGCAGUGGGGAAUAUUGGACAGUGGGCGAAAGCCUGACCCAGCCAUACCGCGUGGGUGAAGAAGGCCUUCGGGUUGUAAAGCCCUUUUGUUGGGAAAGAAAAGCAGCAGGUUAAUACCCCGCUGUUCUGACGGUACCCAAAGAAUAAGCACCGGCUAACUUCGUG